AUUUGUCCAUAAACUCCCUAUUCUUCUACUCUUCAUAAACAAAGAAGAAUAACUAUCUACCUCUCUCUCUCUUUCUAUCUCUAUCUUUCUAUCUCUAUCUCUCUCUCUCCUCCGUAAGAACAAGAAACUGAAGUUUCAUCAAAAAAACAAAACCAUGGAUUUCUAAUAAAUCAAUGCACAAAAUUCGUUUUUGGUGAAGAUCAAGUUGCUCCUCUUGGUAAGUUUCUAAACUCGUUUUUAUACUAGAUACCUACUAGUAUUUUCUACAUAUCUUUUUGUAAAGAGCUCCGAUUUAAGUGAUCCAGGACUUUCUGGAAAGGUAUUUCAUAAAUCUAUAAUUUUUAUGAAGGAAUCAAAAUCUAUUUUUGUUGGUAUAUACCUGAAAAAGGGUCAAAAAGUACAGGACAGGUGCUGCCCAGAUUUUCAGUUCUUGAAAUAUUCCAUGUACUGUUGUUAGUAAUUUUAGUAUAACGUUUUGUUCAAAAUUGAUAUAGUGGUGAUUCAAGAUGUUCUGAAACGGUAAGACAUAGCUCUACAACUUUUAUGGAUACUAUAAAGUCUAGUUUGUCCGUAUAGAUCUUCAAAACUGAGUCACAACUCGGAACAAUGAUAUUGUCCAGAAUUUCUGUUUCAAACGUUUUUGGGUAAUUUUCACCAAUAUCAUGUUUAGUUGACUUGUUAAAUCACUGAACUUAUUUAGAUAUUUGAUUAUGUAUUUAAGGUAUAUAAACCCUUGAAAAAAAAUCAAAGGGGAAGUGUUUGAGGAAGUGGACAAAUUUGAUUUGCUUACGGCGUAGACGAUUCGAACGUCCCCAAGUUGUGAUUGAACUGUUUUGUGGUAAAACACCAAGGUUUGUGUAUAAACUUGUACUCUUUUUGCUUGCUGGAAAUAUGUUGAAAUAACUUGAUAUUUUAUUUUUCUUGUCUUCGAAUUAUAUUGUUAUAUUCGGAUUAUAUCAAGUCUUGUAAGAAAUUUGCUAAAUCGCGGAUUCGUACGGAUUGUUUGAUCAUUUUGCAUUCUUGUUGGGACUUUGUCCUUCUUGUGGCAUGGUCACUCACUUGGCAUGCCUCUUUAUUC
rnacentral:lncRNA from 1 species